UACGUAGGGUGCGAGCGUUAAUCGGAAUUACUGGGCGUAAAGCGUGCGCAGGCGGUUUUGUACGCCAGAUGUGAAAUCCCCGGGCUUAACCUGGGAAUGGCAUUUGGGACUGCAAGGCUCGAGUGCGGCAGAGGAGACUGGAAUUCCUGGUGUAGCAGUGAAAUGCGUAGAUAUCAGGAGGAACACCGAUGGCGAAGGCAGGUCUCUGGGCUGACACUGACGCUCAUGCACGAAAGCGUGGGGAGCAAACAGG
rnacentral:rRNA from 1 species